rnacentral:rRNA from 1 species
AGCAGCCGCGGUAAUUCCAGCUCCAAUAGCGUAUAUUAAAGUUGUUGCAGUUAAAAAGCUCGUAGUUGAAUUUCGGGAUCAGUAGGUUGGUCAUACCUCUGGUAUGUACUGGUCUCACUGAUUCCUCCCUCUUGAAGAACUGUAAUGCCAUUAAUUUGGUGUUGCAGGGAAACUGGACUGUUACUUUGAAAAAAUUAGAGUGUUUAAAGCAAGCUAACGCUUGAAUACAUUAGCAUGGAAUAAUGAAAUAGGACGUUCGAUCCUAUUUUGUUGGUUUCUAGGAUUGACGUAAUGAUUAAUAGGGAUAGUUGGGGGCAUUAGUAUUCAAUUGUCAGAGGUGAAAUUCUUGGAUUUAUUGAAGACUAACUACUGCGAAAGCAUUUGCCAAGGAUGUUUUCAUUAAUCAAGAACGAAAGUUAGGGGAUCGAAGACGAUCAGAUACCGUCGUAGUCUUAACCAUAAACUAUGCCGACUAGGGAUCGGAUGAUGUUAAUUUUUUAAUGACUCAUUCGGCGCCUUA